GACGAACGCUGGCGGCGUGCUUAACACAUGCAAGUCGAACGGUAAGGCCCUUCGGGGUACACGAGUGGCGAACGGGUGAGUAACACGUGGGUGAUCUGCCCUGCACUUCGGGAUAAGCCUGGGAAACUGCGUCUAAUACCGGAUAGGACCACUGCCUGCAUGGGUGGUGGUGGAAAGUCUUUGUGGUGUGGGAUGGGCCCGCGGCCUAUCAGGUUGUUGGUGGGGUGAUGGCCUGCCAAGGCGACGACGGGGAGCCGGCCUGAGAGGGUGACCGGCCACACUGGGACUGAGAUACGGCCCAGACUCCUACGGGAGGCAGCAGUGGGGAAUAUUGCGCAAUGGGCGCAAGCCUGAUGCAGCGACGCCGCGUGAGGGAUGACGGCCUUCGGGUUGUAAACCUCUUUCAGCACCGACGAAGCGCAAGUGACGGUAGGUGCAGAAGAAGGACCGGCCAACUACGUGCCAGCCGCCGCCGUAA
rnacentral:rRNA from 1 species